UCUUCUUGCUUUUACAGAAUUAGGGGAAAUAUAAGAAAGCUAAACAAGGCAAACAAGAUAUGUGCUGCUGCCCUGAUAUGUUAAUCUGAAGACAGAGAAGAGAAAAAAAAUCAGAUGCAAGACCUGAGAAACUGAAUUCAAGGUCAAUGUGGCACAGUUCUCUUUCCAAACUUACCAAGAGUUUGAUGGGAAUGCCAGUUAUA
rnacentral:lncRNA from 12 species